UACGUAGGGGGCAAGCGUUGUCCGGAAUCAUUGGGCGUAAAGAGCGUGUAGGCGGCUUGGUAAGUCCGCUGUGAAAGUCCAGGGCUCAACCCUGGAAUGCCGGUGGAAACUGUCAAGCUUGAGUCCGGAAGAGGCGAGUGGAAUUCCUGGUGUAGCGGUGAAAUGCGCAGAUAUGCGGAGGAACACCGAUGGCGAAGGCAAUCCCCUGGGCCUGCACUGACGCUCAUGCACGAAAGCGUGGGGAGCAAACAGG
rnacentral:rRNA from 1 species